rnacentral:rRNA from 1 species
ACGGAAGGCAGCAGUGGGGAAUAUUGCACAAUGGGGGAAACCCUGAUGCAGCAACGCCGCGUGAGUGAUGACGGUCUUCGGAUUGUAAAGCUCUGUCUUUAGGGACGAUAAUGACGGUACCUAAGGAGGAAGCCACGGCUAACUACGUGCCAGCAGCCGCGGUAAUACGUAGGUGGCAAGCGUUGUCCGGAUUUACUGGGCGUAAAGGGAGCGUAGGCGGAUUUUUAAGUGGGAUGUGAAAUACUCGGGCUCAACCUGGGUGCUGCAUUCCAAACUGGAAGUCUAGAGUACAGGAGGGGAAAGCGGAAUUCCUAGUGUAGCGGUGAAAUGCGUAGAGAUUAGGAAGAACACCAGUGGCGAAGGCGGCUUUCUGGACUGUAACUGACGCUGAGGCUCGAAAGCGUGGGGAGCAAACAGGAUUAGAUACCCUGGUA